rnacentral:rRNA from 1 species
GAUGAACGCUGGCGGCGUGCCUAAUACAUGCAAGUCGAGCGAAUGGAUUAAGAGCUUGCUCUUAUGAAGUUAGCGGCGGACGGGUGAGUAACACGUGGGUAACCUGCCCAUAAGACUGGGAUAACUCCGGGAAACCGGGGCUAAUACCGGAUAACAUUUUGAACCGCAUGGUUCGAAAUUGAAAGGCGGCUUCGGCUGUCACUUAUGGAUGGACCCGCGUCGCAUUAGCUAGUUGGUGAGGUAACGGCUCACCAAUGCAACGAUGCGUAGCCGACCGGAGAGGGGGAGCUGCCACACGGGGACGGGGCCACGACCCAGACUCCUCCGGGAGGCAGCAGUAGGGAAUCUUCCGCAAUGGACGAACGUCUGACGGAGCAACGACGCGUGAGUGAUGAAGGCUUUCGGGUCGUAAAACUCUGUUGUUAGGGAAGAACAAGUGCUAGUUGAAUAAGCUGGCACCUUGACGGUACCUAACCAGAAAGCCACGGCUAACUACGUGCCAGCAGCCGCCGUAA